UUUAGUUCUAAAAUUUAUAUUUUAAUACCUAAAAGGUCUCUAUCAUUCAAAUUCUUUAAUUAACGGAAUUUAACAACAAUAACUUUUUGGGAAUUAAAAUGUAAACUUCAAUUACAUU
rnacentral:pre_miRNA from 1 species